rnacentral:rRNA from 1 species
UACGUAGGGGGGCAAGCGUUGUCCGGAAUCAUUGGGCGUAAAGCGCGUGUAGGCGGCUGAGUAAGUCUGCUCUGAAAGCCCGGGGCUCAACCCCGGGAGGCGGGUGGAUACUGCUCAGCUCGAGUCCGGAAGAGGAGUGUGGAAUUCCUGGUGUAGCGGUGAAAUGCGCAGAUAUCGGGAGGAACACCAGUGGCGAAGGCGGCGAUCUGGGAAGAUACUGACGCUGAGGUGCGAAGGCGUGGGGAGCGAACGGG